GUGCUUCAGCAGCAAAUAUACUAUUAAAAUUGGAGUAAUACAGAGAAUAUUAGCAUGGUCCAGCACAAGGAUGGCUUUCAAGGAAGGGGGUUGGGAUAUGUGUUG
rnacentral:snRNA from 1 species